UUAACCAAAAAAAAGGUUGUACUUAGUCUCUUCAUUAAUUCCUAGGUGUGUUUUGGCCGUAACAUGCAAUGAACCAAUCAGAGCGUCAUCUCCCAUUCUCUUUAAAAGCCAGACGUGUUUCUACCUUGGCGCAUUGCUA